GAACGGGUGAGUAACACGUGAGCAACCUGCCCUGGACUCUGGGAUAAGCGCUGGAAACGGCGUCUAAUACUGGAUAUGAGACGUGAUCGCAUGGUCGUGUUUGGAAAGAUUUUUCGGUCUGGGAUGGGCUCGCGGCCUAUCAGCUUGUUGGUGAGGUAAUGGCUCACCAAGGCGUCGACGGGUAGCCGGCCUGAGAGGGUGACCGGCCACACUGGGACUGAGACACGGCCCAGACUCCUACGGGAGGCAGCAGUGGGGAAUAUUGCACAAUGGGCGGAAGCCUGAUGCAGCAACGCCGCGUGAGGGAUGACGGCCUUCGGGUUGUAAACCUCUUUUAGCAGGGAAGAAGCGAAAGUGACGGUACCUGCAGAAAAAGCGCCGGCUAACUACGUGCCAGCAGCCGCGGUAAUACGUAGGGCGCAAGCGUUAUCCGGAAUUAUUGGGCGUAAAGAGCUCGUAGGCGGUUUGUCGCGUCUGCUGUGAAAUCCCGAGGCUCAACCUCGGGCCUGCAGUGGGUACGGGCAGACUAGAGUGCGGUAGGGGAGAUUGGAAUUCCUGGUGUAGCGGUGGAAUGCGCAGAUAUCAGGAGGAACACCGAUGGCGAAGGCAGAUCUCUGGGCCGUAACUGACGCUGAGGAGCGAAAGGGUGGGGAGCAAACAGGCUUAGAUACCCUGGUAGUCCACCCCGUAAACGUUGGGAACUAGUUGUGGGGACCAUUCCACGGUUUCCGUGACGCAGC
rnacentral:rRNA from 1 species